AGCAGCCGCGGUAAUUCCAGCUCCAAUAGCGUAUAUUAAAGUUGUUGCAGUUAAAAAGCUCGUAGUUGAAUUUCGGGAUCGACGGGUCGGUCGCGCCUCUGGUGUGUACUGGCCCUGUCGGUUUCUCCCUUCUGACGAACCACGAUGUCAUUAAUUUGGUGUCGUGGGAAAUCAGGACCGUUACUUUGAAAAAUUAGAGUGUUUAAAGACAGGCAUUCGCUUGAAUACAUUAGCAUGGAAUAAUGAAAUAGGACGUUUGAUCUUAUUUUGUUGGUUUCUAAGAUCGACGUAAUGAUUAAUAGGGAUAGUUGGGGGCAUUAGUAUUCAAUUGUCAGAGGUGAAAUUCUUGGAUUUAUUGAAGACUAACUACUGCGAAAGCAUUUGCCAAGGAUGUUUUCAUUAAUCAAGAACGAAAGUUAGGGGAUCGAAGACGAUC
rnacentral:rRNA from 1 species